rnacentral:rRNA from 1 species
UCCUACGGGGCGCAGCAGUGAGGAAUAUUGGUCAAUGGGCGGGAGCCUGAACCAGCCAAGUCGCGUGAGGGAAGACGGUCCUAUGGAUUGUAAACCUCUUUAGGCGGGGAGCAAUGCCGGGCACGCGUGCCCGGAGGGAGAGUACCCGCAGAAUAAGCAUCGGCUAACUCCGUGCCAGCAGCCGCGGUAAUACGGAGGAUGCGAGCGUUAUCCGGAUUUAUUGGGUUUAAAGGGUGCGUAGGCGGACGCUUAAGUCAGCGGUAAAAUUGCGGGGCUCAACCUCGUCGAGCCGUUGAAACUGGGUG